UACGGGGGGGGCAAGCGUUGUUCGGAAUUACUGGGAGUAAAGCGUGCGUAGACGGUUACAUAAGUCGGGUGUGAAAGCCCCGGGCUCAACCUGGGAAUUGCAUUCGAGACUGCGUAGCUAGGGUGCGGAAGAGGGAAGCGGAAUUUCCGGUGUAGCGGUGAAAUGCGUAGAUAUCGGAAGGAAGACCAGUGGCGAAGGCGGGUCUCUGGACAGUUCCUGACGCUGAGGCACGAAGGCCAGGGGAGCAAACGGG
rnacentral:rRNA from 1 species